UUAGGAUCUUGUAUGGAGUUCAAAUCACGAAAUAAAAUUUUGUUCUCUUCUUUAAACUUUUUCAAAGCAUAAUUCUUGUUUUGAAUUUCCAAAUGUUGCUGUCUUUGUGGAUUUGUUUUCUCUAAUUUCUCCAAUAAUUUUGUUUUUCCUUCUUCCACGGUGUUAAUAACAAGUGAUGUUUGUUCAUCAAUUUUUCUUUUGAGUUUGGCUUUUUUCACUCCAAUUGGUUUUUUAGACGAAGAUCCACCCAUUAUAUCUUCUUCAUCAUCUAAAUUCAUAGAAAACGUAGACAAAUCUGGAGAUUCUUGUGUAGCAGAAUCAGAUGUAACAUUUUCCAAUUCUGGAUUUGUAUCCCCGAAACCACAUGAGUUUGAUACGUUUCUCGUGGAUGUGUCACCAACUUUAAACUUUUCGAAAUUCUUUAUAAUGCUCCAUACAUGGAUCGAACUUCCAACCUCCUUUGUAUUUUGGAUCAUCCAAUAACAUUAACUUGGCUUCUUUAAACUUCAUAUCAUUUUAAAACAUAAAACAUUAUUGCAAAGUAAGUAAAAUAUAUAUUACACUAACUAAAAAAAAUACUUACAAUGUCAUCAUUUGAAGCACCACUUGGACGUAUGUUUUCACAUUGCUUGAUGCAUGCAUGCAAUUUUUGUGUUUCUUUCUCAGUAGUUUGAAUUCGACAAUGGAUAGACUUCUUUGUACGUUUACUCCAACUUGCAUCUUUUCCGUUCUCGUAAGCAGCUGCCACACGAGACCAGAAUUGGUCGAACGACUGAUAAACACAUUUGAUUGGAUCUUGAGAUAUUUUCAUAUAUACUUGACAUAAAAGUCUAUCUUCUUCAUGAGUAUAUCCAGCAAAACGUAACGGCAUUUUGUAAACAAAGUUAAAAUAAGAUGUGGAUGCAAUAGAAAAUAUAAUGAUUCAGUGUUGUGAAUAAAAAUGUAGAACACAACAUAUUAUUUAUACACAAUAAAGAUUCUCAGAUUUUUUGAAUUUAUAAUGACGUGAUUUGAUAAUACAAUGAAAAAGUUAUUCAAAGAUUCUCACAUUUUUAACUUAUUACGACAUGAUUUGAUAAUACAAUGAAAAGUUUAUUCAAAGAUUUUCACAUUUUUAAUUUAUUAUGAUAUGAUUUGAUAAUUCAAUGAAAAGAUGAAUUUAAAUAUUUUCACAUUUUUUUAUCUACUAUGACAUGAUUUGAUAAUGCAAUGAAAAGGUGAAUUAAAAUCCUCUCAUUUUAAACUUAUUAUGACAUGAUUUGAUAAUACAAUGAAAAGUUUAUUCAAAGAUUCUCACAUUUUUUUAAUAUGUUAUGACAUGAUUUGAUAAUGCAAUGAAAAAGUGAUUCAAAUAUUUUUAUAUAUUUUUAUAUUUUAUGUCAUGAUUUGAUAAUGCAACGAAAAGGUGAUUCAAAGAUUCUCACAUUUUUCAAUUUACUAUGGCAUGAUUUGAUAAUGCAAUGCAAAGGUGAUUCAAUGAUUCUCACAUUUUCAAUCUACUAUGGCAUGAUUUGAUAAUGCAAUGAAAAAGUGAUUCAAAGAUUCUCACAUUUUUCAAUCUAAAAUAAUGUGAAUUAAUAUUACAAUAAAAGUGAUUCCAAAAUGAUCUAUAUAUAGUAGAAAUCCUUGUUGGUUUUCACAAAUUAAAUUUUUUACUUCACACACUCUAAGUUUCUUCUUUUAAAAUGAAUUACAAUUUCACAAAUUCACUUCUACAUUAGAGUUCUUCUUCAUCCUCUUCAGAUGAUGAUGCUGAAAAUGUAGAAAUGAUUAAUAGUCUUGAGCAAGAAGAAUGAGCGAUACAUUCUGCUAUCGAAAAUAAUAAUGUGAUAAUAGAAUACCUACGUAAUCAACAAAGCAGCCAGGUGAUUCAUGGAGGCUCAGUUCCUGGACGUUCUUUUAUCCAUCGAGAUCGAGAAAGCGCGCAUUGCAGAUUAUUCAACGACUAUUUCUCAGAGAAUCCAACUUACAACAACACCAUAUUUCGUAGGAGAUAUUGUAUGUCUCGUUCUUUAUUCCUUCGUAUUGUUAAUGUUGUUAAAGACCAUGACAACUACUUUAGACAGCAAAAGGAUACAACUGGAAGACUUGGUUUAUCAUCUCUCCAGAAAGCAACAGCCGUCUUUCGGAUGCUAGCUUAUGGUUUGCCCGCUGAUGCUACUGAUGAAUACAUCAAAAUUGGCGAAUCAACAACAAUCUAAAGUAUGAAAAGAUUUUGUGGGGCUAUUGUGGAAAUAUUCUCAGAGGAAUAUUUACGAUCGCCAACACCUGCCGAUGUUUCAAGACUUCUGAAGAUUGGUGAAGAGCGAGGCUUUCCGAAAUGUUGGGUAGCUUAGAUUGCAUGCACUGGAAGUGGAAAAAUUGUUCGGCCGCUUGGGCUGGACAAUAUGCAGGUCGUAGUGGAUAACCAACUAUAAUUCUUGAAGCUGUUGCGGAUUAUGAUCUUUGGAUAUGGCAUGCAUAUUUCGGGAUGUCAGGCAGAAAUAAUGAUAUCAAUGUCUUGGAGUCUUCACAUCUUUUCUCCAAUCUCGCUCAAGGUAUUGCACCUCCUGCUCAUUAUAUCAUUCAAGGCAAAUAAUAUAAUAUGAGAUAUUAUUUGGCCGACGGUAUAUAUCCAAAAUGGUCUAGCAUAGUGCAAACUAUUCAUGAGCCAGUGGGUUCAAAGAAUAAAUAUUUUGCUACACAACAAGAAGCAUGUCGAAAGAAUGUGAAACAUGCAUUUGGAGUUCUUCAAUCACGCUUUGCAAUUGUGAAAGGACCAACUCGUUUUUGGAAAAAAGAUGUGCUACAUGACAUAAUGACUACAUGUAUAAUUCUACAUAACAUGAUAAUUAAAGAUGAGCGUGAUCUUGAUGCUCCAAUUGAAGUUGGUGGAGAAGUUCCAGUUCUAGAGGUUGAUAUCGAAGAGCAUGAUAAUAUUCGUUUUCAAGAAUUUUUGGCUCGAUUAGAAGAAUUAAAGAUCAAGAAGCUCAUUUCACUCUUCGGAACAAUUUAAUUGAUCACAUGUGGGAAAAAUAUACAUUUCAUGCUUCCUUAUAAAAUGUAGUGUUCUUGUGUUAUUUAUUUAUGCUAUGUGUACUAAUUAUAUUGUAUGAUAAUGUUUAUUUAAUAUUAAUUAGCAAUUAUGGUGAAAUAUUGUUAAAAUAAAAUAUUUGGGUAAAAUUAGUAAACUAGCAAAAGUAAAAGAUGUUUUUGAUAAAUAAUGAUAAAACAGAAAAAUAAUAUAUUUGGAAUAUUCAUUUUUGAAGAAAAAAAUGAAGUAAACCAUUGGAGAACAUACUUCUUCAUUUUUUAAGAUAUUCAUAUUUUGAAGAAAAAAAUGAAGUUUACCAUUGCAGAUACUCUUAUAUAUUUGUUAAUGUAUAAAAUAUAGUCUUCCCUCCAUGGCACUUAAAUUGGUACCAAAAUCGUACUUAGGCUGCUUGUUAGAAUGAAACAAUCCCCUAAACUUCUUAACAUCAGGAGGAGUCGGCUUUACAUUUUCAUCAUACAUUGCAAAUAAAUAAGACUUGGUUGACAAAAUGACAAUAAAACAUUUCAUUAUCUACGUAUUCUUCUUGAUUCAAUAUGAUGGAUACUCUCAACAAAUUAAUCCACUUCUCACUUAUGUUUCAACAUUUUUAUUGAAGUAAUUCAGUUGUUGAUUUGUUUUUUCAACGGCUCCAAUAUUAACAGACUAAUAAAAAUAAAGAAAAUACCCUAAAAUAUAUCUAUCAGUAGAUUUUCUUAAAUAUUUUGAAUUACUGUAAAACAUUAUAAUAUGUAAAUAUAUAUAUAUAUAUAUAUAUAUAUAUAUAUACAUACAUAUAUAUUGAUUUUAAUUUUAAAAGUGUCUCGAGAUGUUCUACAUUAAAUUUUGUGAAUACUCUAUAUAUGGCUCAUUGUUAUUGUAUUAUAGUUUCUAUAUACACAAAUCAAGAAAUUUUGAUGGCCUGAAGUAAUGGAAUUGACGAAGAACAGAGCGAGAAGUUAACGAAGUCACGAAGAAAUGAAGAUACAUGACUUGAUUAGAAGGAAUUUGACAUCUUUAUAUAUAAAAGAAACUUUUAAUCACUCCCGGUGCUGCCAACAAGGACGACAAGUCAAGAAAUAGGAAGCCUCCCGCGCUGACACGUCAGUUGCUAGAACGCUCCGUACCAUUCUUUCCUUCUCCGGAAUCCGUUGGGCCUACGUUCUUAUUAUGUCUGAACAUUUUGCAUUAUUAAGCCCAUGGACUUUUUUUUUGUGCGACUCCCAUAGACUAUUUUAUUAAAGCAUGAUAUGAUGUAUUGCGAAACGGUGCGUUUAUUAUCCUGUCUUUUAUCUCUCUACCAUCUCCGCCGUAGGCGAUUUAGGGUUUCCAUUGAAACUGAGUAUUCUUCCUCUUGAUCCAGCGAUCAAUCGGCGCCUUAUGGACUCAAUAUUUUCCAGCGAACUGUUCAUCUUCUUCCUACUGAUCAAGUAUUCAAUGGAAACAUUGCUAUUGAAUUCCCUCUUUAAAUCCACCUUCCACGAUCUCUCUUCAAUUCCACUUUAGCUCUUUAAAGGCAGUGGUGGUUCCACUAUAAAAAUAUUUGAAAUUCUGUAGAUGUUUUUCCACGGUGGAGGUUAGGCUAUUGCGUUUCUAGGAGGCAAGGAACAUCAGGCGAGGUGAUGAACUGAUGUCCGUGGAUAUGCUCCUGCUUGAUUCGAAUGUGACUACAAACCGACACUCAUGUAAGCUACCGUCAACGUCCAACAAACACUCAUGUAUUCCAGGUAACCCUAUUAUUAUUAUUUUUUUGGACUUAAACUCACUCAUCAUUCAAAGCAGUUUAUUUUUUCAAAUGUUCAUCUUAGGUCAUAUAUAACUAGUGAACUAACUGCUAUAAAGAGGCAUGUAAGCGAUCCUCCACAAGACUUCUUAUAUAGGUUUCUACACCUUUAUAAUUGAUAACACUACUUUAUUAGACAAACACGUUGAAGAUUUGGUCCGCAUUUUUUUCUUUGUAGUGACGUGUCUUUCACCUUGAGUGUGUUCCACUAUCAAGUUGUGUGGUUUCACAAAACUUAAAAGCUUUAGGGUGGAUCCACGAGUUUUUGUUGCAACAAACUAUAAUCCCAAGAUUGUGGGAGGACGAUUUUUCUAAAUGCCACAUCAGGGACUCACUAUGACAAGGAGACUGAUGCAUGAGAGAGUUAUUUUUACAAGUAAGCUUUUAAAAAUUACUGCUUGAUUACAUCUAGAAACGUACUGCUACAUGACUUAUCUCACACACUCUCACGGGACACUCAUUACUACUACAGUUUCUUCACAAAUGAUACUGGGAACACAUCAGCAGCUUCUUUGUUGAGGGGCUUUUCAAAGGUUGAGCCUAUGAAAAUAGCGUAGCUUAACCAGUUUAUCAUCACUGCUCAGCAUCAGUCCAUUAAAUUUAUUUGCACUGGAAAGGUGACCGUAUAAGCCAGAAAAAGGAUGGUGCUACAUCUUGGACCCUGGAGAUCACACGCGUGGGAUCAGUUUCUCUCUCGGCGAAGAUGUUUGGAGGUGGGAAUGAGAAGGAGAAUAACUCUGGCAGCAAAACUUCAACUGGUCUCAUACUGAAAAAAGCUCAGGCCACAACAUCUGCCAAGGUGAAGAGUAUGCUGGAGCUGGUCACAUUAAUACCUGUUUGAAAAUGCUUAUGAAUCAUUAUCCCUGUUCCCCCUAUUCUCUGUUGUGUUUUCUUCAGAAGAUCUUAUAAAUUAAGUUCAAUAAUCCAAUGGUUAUUUUACUCCUGAGUCAUUCAACCACUUAGGUUCCUAGAUUCCAUAUAUUUACUCAGCAAAACAUGUACUAAAAAAACGUAUGGCCAUAAAAAUGAUAAUUUAAACACUGAAACAAAAAUAAGACGUGUGACGUAAGGAAAUAAAGAUAAUGUGCUGAACAUUUA